GGAGGCGCUGAGAUUCCGGGCCGGGCGGCCGUGGGCAGCGGGUGCCCGUUAGGAACCGGGCCGUCGGCCUCCUCUCGUUGCCCUUUGGGGGUUCUUUUUGUAAUAGCAGCAGGACAGCUUUUCCCAUCUUCAGAAGUCGGGCCAAUUAAAAUCACGCGCUGCUUGCCCUCGGGGCUGGAGCUGGGACGGCGGGCCGAGCUGCUGGCCUAACCCCGGAGGGUCCCAGGCUGGCCAUCCGGUGCUCAGGGUUUCUCUGCUCUUACCCUCGAGUUACAUCACGUUCCUACACGAUAUGUUUUAGCAUUUGUUUAAAGAAACGAGACCCCAGCAGCCUGUAAACCCAGGCCAAGCCGGCGUGGUACAACCACAACGCGGUACUCUCCAGCGCCAGAGGAGGCCCGAGGGAGGCCCCGAGGUUCCCAGCCCCGAGGUUCAAGGUUCACCUCAGACCCCCAGCUUCCCUCGAAGGAUGAUGGGAGCCCAAAUCAAAGCGCAAAUUUAAAUCUUGCAAUCACUGCUGGGAAGUGAGCUGUAUCAUCUUGAGAAAUCAGACCACAGAGACGGGCCUGCAGCUGGCAGGCUGGGUCAUCUUUAAUCGCUUAACCCUUCAUAUCAAAGGAUGGCUUGUAGCAGCAGAUUCCUUCUCCAGAAUUUGCCAUGGCAGAUUUUCUCAAGGAAAAGCUAUGCCAGGAUGGAGAGACAACAUGGCAAGAAACUGAUUUUAUGGAUAACUGUAUAUAUCAGGAAUUUAACUCAGGACCUUACACUUGCCAGGCAGGUGCCAUGCCACUGAGCUGUAUCCCUGGCCCACCAUGGCAAGAAAUUGAGAGUUGCUUCUAACCAACAGCCAACAAGGAGCUGAGGUCCUCAGUCCAAUAGCCCAUGAGAACCUGAAUGCUACCUACAACCACUGUGCAAGUUUGGAAGUGGACCCUGCCCCAUUUGAACUCUAAAAUCACUGUGGCUCCAGUGGGUUUGUGGAUUAUAGCCUGUGAGAGACCCUGAAAACCGACGAUCUAGCUUAGCCAUGCCCAGAUUCCCAGUCCACAGAAA